rnacentral:rRNA from 1 species
CCUACGGGAGGCAGCAGUGAGGAAUAUUGGUCAAUGGUCGGGAGACUGAACCAGCCAAGCCGCGUGAGGGAUGAAGGUACAGAGUAUCGUAAACCUCUUUUGUCAGGGAACAAAGGCGGGGACGCGUCCCCGGAUGAGUGUACCUGAAGAAAAAGCAUCGGCUAACUCCGUGCCAGCAGCCGCGGUAAUACGGCGGAUGCGAGCGUUAUCCGGAUUUAUGGGGUUUAAAGGGUGCGCAGGCGGUCUGUUAAGUCAGCGGUCAAAGCCCGGGGCUCACCCCCGGCCCGCCGUUGAAACUGGUAGUCUCGAGUUGGAGAGAAGUAUGCGGAAUGCGCGGUGUAGCGGUGAAAUGCAUAGAUAUCGCGCAGAACUCCGAUUGCGAAGGCAGCAUGCCGGCUCCACACUGACGCUGAGGCACGAAAGCGUGGGUAUCGAACAGGAUUAGAUACCCCUGUAGUC